CAGUCGCCGCGGUAAUACGUAGGGUGCGAGCGUUGUUCGGAAUUACUGGGCGUAAAGAGCUCGUAGGCGGUUUGUCGCGUCGUAUGUGAAAUUCUGCAGCUUAACUGUAGGCGUGCAGGCGAUACGGGCAGACUUGAGUACUACAGAGGAGACUGGAAUUCCUGGUGUAGCGGUGAAAUGCGCAGAUAUCAGGAGGAACACCGGUGGCGAAGGCGGGUCUCUGGGUAGUAACUGACGCUGAGGCGCGAAAGCGUGGGUAGCGAACAGGAUUAGAUACCCCAGUAGUCCCUGUCUCUUAUAC
rnacentral:rRNA from 1 species